GAGCGAGAGAGAGAGAGAGAGAGAGAGAGAGAGAGGGAGGACCGGGGCAGGAGUUGUGUAAAAGGGGCUGAAGUCCUGCGCUGCCUUCUCCUCCGCCGUUGCGAUAAAAAGGCUCCAGACUCUUGUCAAAGCUCAUCACACCGUGGACGUAAAAACCAAAUCCACAGAGGACGACACACCCCGCUGGAAGCCUCGGGACUCAGAAGAGCGGUGGGCGAGGCAGCCUGAACUCCGCCGGACCGUGCAGCUGCGUCGGAGGCUCGAGGCAGGAGCGACCCGGCCGGUGGUCAAGAAACAUGUGCACCUAAAGCAGAAGAAGGAAGCAGAAGGAGUCGCCUUUCGUGCCUCAGAGCGGGCCGUGCAUCACUCCAGGCUGUCUGUUCUGAACUCUCACGCUCGCUGGCUGACACCCACAGCUCCCUCACCCUCGGCCCCAAAUGGCUGACACACAGCAGUUCUUCACUGGCAAGCUUUAUGUUCCUGUACACAUGCUAAAGCUGCCAGCUGAAGAACUGCUCUGGUCAGCCCUGCCCCGGAUGACUCAAGAAAAGGAAGCGGAUGGGGGGUGGUGGGAACUGGACUGAGGAAGACGGCGUUUCACACUCACAGCAGUCACGCUGGACUUUUAUAACCUGCCAGCUUUUAGCCUGUGGUUUACUUCGCUAUUUUAUUAUCACACGUUGUUUUCUUACAGAAAGCUGCCUAAGUUAUGUCUAUGAUGUUGUUGGUGUUUUGUUUCCAAUAAAGAACAAAAUGUUCUCUCAGA